CUGAGUAUUUAUGAUGCGCUGUACUAAGGGCUUGUGCACAUGUUUUCACCAAGUCUCAAAAUAAAUAUCUAUGAGUUACAACUAUUCUUAUAAUUGUUUAAUAGGAAGUACUGAGAAAUGAAGUGUCCUGAGCAAAGGCUAGAAUGAAGCGUAAGUUUGGAUCAAUCACUGUUGGGAGUCAGUCUGACAGAAAAGCAUUUAAAUACUAUAUUGGUGGGCCUACGAAGAGAAUGUUUAAAUCUCCCUAAUACUACCAUCAGUGCUCAGUCAUGAGAACAGUGCCAGAGAUUAGGAAUCUAAUCACAUCACAGUAGUGCCUGUGUGACCCAUGGAAUGAUCAUGAGUCAAGUUUGCUGGCAUGGGGAAACAGUAUUACUUGCACCUCAGUCAUCCACAGAGGAGACAAUCAACCAAAGAGACUCAAAGGAGGUAACCAUAUAACCAUAAGGCACCUCUUCCUUUGAGAAUGCAGUUCAGGGGUAAGAAUUCUAAAGGACUGCGGUGGACAAAGCAGGAGAUUACAAGGAUCAGAGAGGCACUUCUAAAGCAGAAGCCAAGAAUAAUCAAUGUGGCCACCUGCCAAGGAAGGUAACUGCAGGAAAACAAAGGCCAAUUCACCCACACCUCCGCAGGUAGGAAAUUGGCCUCAAAUGUAGCCCACUUUAGCCUAACAAAUGAAUCAGGUUUUAAAACUAGGAACUUCCCUCCUCCCUCAACACAUCACAUUAUGAAAGUAUGGAACAGUGGGUAACUUGCGUGUAUUUGCCUCCCCAUUUCCAGAAAAUCCUGUCUUCAAAGCUAUUUUUUUAGGGAUUAUAAGAAGACUAAGAAAUACAAAGAAUGCCUUUGUGGCUCAGCACACUGUUUAUAUCCAGAUAUCAUGAAGCUUUGCAUUCAAACCCCAGUUGUAAUGGAGUUCCACAGUAGAAUGGGUACAGUGAAUGCAACCACCAUGAAUGUUGGCAGAUUAUUAUACAAAGGGCAGUUAUCCCACAGAGAGGGCUGGCAGGUUGACAGGGGACCAACAAACGAAUAAACUGAAAGGCAUAAUGAGCCCGAUUUCCACCCUAAUACACACACACACGCACACACACACACACACACACACACACACACACAGGCACUCAC